UGGCUGAGUGGUAAAGUGCUUGGCUUCCAAACUGGGGGCUCCAGGUUCGAAUCCUGG
rfam:Biomphalaria glabrata isolate BB02 unplaced genomic scaffold LGTN_random_Scaffold2054, whole genome shotgun sequence.